rnacentral:rRNA from 1 species
AGGGUUUGAUCAUGGCUCAGAACGUACGCUGGCGGCACGCCUAACACAUGCAAGUCGAACGAAGUAGCAAUACUUAGUGGCAGACGGGUGAGUAACAUGUGGGUAUCUGCCCUUUGGCCUGGAAUAACACGAGGAAACUUGUGCUAAUACCGGAUAAGUCUUUACGGAGAAAGCUUUAUGCACCAUUGGAUGAGCCCGCACUUGAUUAGUUUGUUGGUGGGGUAAUGGCCUACCAAGACUGUGAUCAAUAGCUGAUUUGAGAGGAUGAUCAGCCACAUUGGGACUGAGACACGGCCCAAACUCCUACGGGAGGCAGCAGUGGGGAAUCUUGCACAAUGGAGGAAACUCUGAUGCAGCGAUGCCGCGUGAGUGAAGAAGGCCCUUGGGUUGUAAAGCUCUUUCGUCGGGGAAGAAAAUGACUGUACCCGAAUAAGAAGGUCCGGCUAACUUCGUGCCAGCAGCCGCGGUAAUACGAAGGGACCUAGCGUAGUUCGGAAUUACUGGGCUAAAGAGUUCGUAGGUGGUUGAAAAAGUUAGUGGUGAAAUCCCAGAGCUUAACUCUGGAACUGCCAUUAAAACUUUUCAGCUAGAGUAUGAUAGAGGAAAGCAGAAUUUCUAGUGUAGAGGUGAAAUUCGUAGAUAUUAGAAAGAAUACCAAUUGCGAAGGCAGCUUUCUGGAUCAUUACUGACACUGAGGAACGAAAGCAUGGGUAGCGAAGAGGAUUAGAUACCCUCGUAGUCCAUGCCGUAAACGAUGUGUGUUAGACGUUGGAAAUUUAUUUUCAGUGUCGCAGCGAAAGCGAUAAACACACCGCCUGGGGAGUACGACCGCAAGGUUAAAACUCAAAUGAAUUGACGGGGACCCGCACAAGUAGUGGAGCAUGUGGUUUAAUUCGAAGAUACGCGCAGAACCUUACCAACACUUGACAUGUUCGUCGCGACUCUAAGAGAUUAGAGUUUUCGGUUCGGCCGGACGAAACACAGGUGCUGCAUGGCUGUCGUCAGCUCGUGUCGUGAGAUGUUGGGUUAAGUCCCGCAACGAGCGCAACCCUCACUUUUAGUUGCCAUCAUUAAGUUGGGCACUCUGAAAGAACUGCCAGUGAUAAGCUGGAGGAAGGUGGGGAUGACGUCAAGUCCUCAUGGCCCUUACGUGUUGGGCUACACACGUGCUACAAUGGUAUCUACAACAGGAAGCAAGACUGCGAGGUCAAGCAAAUCCUUAAAAGAUACCUCAGUUCGGAUUGCACUCUGCAACUCGAGUGCAUGAAGCUGGAAUUACUAGUAAUCGUGGAUCAGCGUGCCACGGUGAAUGCGUUCCCGGGUCUUGUACACACCGCCCGUCACACCAUGGGAGUUGGUUCUACCUUAAGGCAAGGUUUCAAACCCUUGACCACGGUAUAGUCAGCGACUGGGGUGAAGUCGUAACAAGGUAGCCGUA